GACCUGAUGGUGCAGUGGUUAGCACGCUUGCAUAUUAUUUGUAUAAUUUACUGCAUGGAAAUCUAAGCAAGAGGCUCCUGUUCGAAUCAGGAUCGGAUCG